UUAUAACGAAGCGUCGCUAUCUGGGAACCCGAAAUUAGUAUUACAGAUACAGAAUGACCAACACUGAAGGAUUUUAUUCAUCACAUCACAACUUACUAUUCCCUUCAUCCCUAUUUCUUACCUACUACAUCAAGAAAGCAAACCAAAGAAAGGGAAAGAAAGGGAAAGAAAGGGGACGUGGUAUGUGUGUGCAGAAUAGCUGCAACAGCAGCCUUCAAGCCACUCUUCCAUCCCUUUAACCAUGCCAAGGUACACAUAGGUGUCAAUCAACCACCCUAUGACAGCCAUCUCCUCAGUCACCCACCACCUCCACCAUCUUCGAUUCUUUAAGGCUACUAGCCAACACUCCUUGCCUUCAUUCUUUGUUCCUUCAGCCACUUACUAGCCAACACUCCUUGCCUUCAUUCUUUGUUCCUUCAGCCACCAAAGUGAGGAGAAUUCAUUAAGCUGCUGCUCUGCCAACUUGAAGAGUCCCCAUCGUCUGCAUUCAAUAUCAAUAACAACAGCCACCAACACCAAAUAUUUGCAGGUGAAUACUAAGCUCAGCUUAUUCAAAUCCAGUGCAUGCAUCCUACCAUCAAUCACAUGUUUGAAUAAAAAUACAGAGUAUACAGAUGAGUAUAUGCAUAAAGGGAUUUAGCAAUCACACGAAGUUAGUUUAUAUACAUGUUCUUCAUGAGACAAAUGCAUUAAGAACUCUUAUCAAACAGAUGCAAUCACAUGCCUAGUAUUGAUCUCUCGCAUUUAGUAAUAUAGGAGCCAAGAGAGUUGAGUUAUGAACUGCCAAAAAACUAGAAGUUCUUCACAUCAGAGUAUUACUGAACUUAGCAUUUAGGAGGGGAGGGAGGUUUAUUCAAGGUAUUUUGUUGUACUCCCUCCGUCUGCGAAUUAAAGCCCCAUUUGCCUCUAAAUAUUUGUCCGCGAAUUAAAGCCCCAUUUGCCUUUUUGUACCCUUUUACCCUCCUACUUUAUCUAAAAUAACUACCUUUUGCCAUUAAUUAUCCAUUCUCAUUUUUUAACCUACUUAAUUAUAGAUUUAAGUAUUCAUCCUUAAUUAAUGCAAAAUAAAUUUAUAUCUAUUAAUUUAGUCUUUCUCUCUCAAAUGGAAUUCUAGAGAAUUCCAAUUCAUUUCGCAGUCGCCUCUCUCUCUCUCUCUACCAAACCCUAGAGUGCGCCGCGUUCUUCUCUCUUUGCAUCGUCUCUCUCUUGUUCUUCCUAAAUCUACCAUUGUUGUGUUACUCCAUGGAUCAUCCCUUUGAAACCGAAUCGAUUGUGCCGGAAACCCCGGCCUCUGAUCUCUGUGAAUUGGCGCCGUGGUUGCUGGCUGAAACCGAGCCGCCGCACCUUCUUAUCUCUGAAUCGGAGAAAACGACGCCGGUAGCUGAAGCGGCGCCAUGGUUGCUGCCGGAUACUGAAGCGGCUCGUCUCCCUCUCUCUGAAUCGGAGCAGAUGUCGCCGGUAGCUGAAGCGGCGCCGUGGUUGCUGCCGGAUACUGAAGUGUCUCGCUUCCCUCUCUCUGAAUCGGAGCAGAUGUCGCCGGUAUCUGAAGCGGCGCCGUGGUUGCUGCCAGAAACUGAGCCGCCGCACCUCCCUCUCUCUGAAUCGGAGGAAUCUCUCUCUGAAUCACCGGACUAUGAUUCUGAUGGCUUCCAUCUCUCUGAACACAUCAGAGAGAGAGGGAAAAGACCGAUCGAAUUCAGUUUCGAAUUUAAAAAAUGAAUGAAACAUUUCUGCCUAUUAAAUUUGAAUUCAGUUUCAAAUUCCACAAAGUAAAAAUUAAUUAAUCAAUGAAACAUAAAAUUAAGACUUAAAUUGAAACAUAACAUUAAAUGAAAAGCUUAAAGUCAAUAAAGUAAAAGCAUUCUCUUAAGUAAAGAUUAGCAAAAAAGUAAACAACUACCCUUAUCUUUUCCUACAACACCUUUUUCAGCUUUCUUAAGCUCCGUGCCCAACUCCAAAUGGGGCUUUAAUUCGCGGAUGGAGGGAGUACCUGAUUUUUCAUUGAACGGGGACGGAUGCCGAUUUGAUGUCGACGCUAACCGCGAGGAAAAGGAGGGGGCUGACUGCCCUGCUCCCCUGGACUUCAAGAAGAGGGCGCAACGACCCUGUUCUGCCGCUCAUCGAAGGCUCAGAGAUAUAGGAGAGUACCCCUCGCCGGAGCCGUACAGUGCCCACGACUUUUGCCGAAGCCGAGGUGAGCCCCGGGCUCAACCCCGAGGAAGAGAAGGCGGAGGUCGUCGGGCUCAAAGAGGUUACUCCGCCUAAACCGAGAGGAAAAGAGAGGGAGGCUAGGGCUAACCGCGUCGGCAGGAGGUAGAGCUAGGGCUCAACGGAGAGGCGAUUUCCGGCCAAGGAAAGCGCGGCGGUGCUGUAAUGCUUAACAGCGGCGGCCUCGCCGGAACCGGAUGGGAGAAGUAGCAGAUUGAGUUUGAGAAGAGGAUUAGGGCUCCGUUUCGUUUCCAAUUGACAAUGUGUGUUUUCUGAAAUUUGGGGAUCGGGAGGAAAAGCACGAGAAAAGAGGACGGACGAAGGGCGUGACGGCAGGGAAGAUGAGGACGCCAAAUGGCCGUCGCCGGCGGCGCGGCUUUCAGAGGCGGCGACUUUCGAGAGAGAGAUCGCGAAACAGGGAGAGAAUGCGAGAAAGGAAUGGCGACAAUAGUUGAGAGAAGAAACGCCGGAUUUCAGAGUGGCGGAGGCGGCCGUUCGCCGGUGCUAAAAGAGUCAGCGGCGGCGACGAAUUUGGCAUGAAGAAGAGAGUGCUGAUCCUUUCAGUCGUUCCUGACUAAAAAAGAAGAGGUGGGCCUCUUGCUUGGGCUGAAUUUAUUCCUUAAGGUGGGCCGAAAUGUUGGGCUGGAUUUAAUUAGAAAAUGGCUUACUUAUUUCCUUAAAUGAGCCCAGGUUUGAGUAUUAAGUAGAGUGGACUGAUUAGAAUUUAUUAAAUUGGGCCUUUAUUAUUUCUCCUA
rnacentral:lncRNA from 1 species